rnacentral:rRNA from 1 species
UAUGCGAAAAUAUUUGAUGGUUGGCUCCAGUCUGGUCGCACUAUACGGUAUUCGCCACCCCAGUAAAUUAAUCCGUUGGUCGCGCCGGGCGGUCAGCAUAUGGGGAACCAUCCGAUUGUUUCGUAGCACUUUUUUCUUACGUUAACCUGCCGUUAGCUCCCUUUGUGGCACCUCGGUAUCCUCUAGUGAGUUACUGGCUGCCCUCCCCCCUUCUGUUGCCUAAACAGACUGUUUUUCGGCAUUAAUCUGCUACCACUUCAGUUUUUUUGAUAAAAAUAGACAGUUUUACUUGCUAACAACUUCUCAACUUCUCCACUAACAUUCUCUCAUCAACUCAGGGAGCUUGUGGGAUAACACCGACAAGCAACCACAUACAAGCACCUUUAAUUAACCAUUAACGCCCGCAGAUGCCAGGCAUUAAUAGAACAACUUUUUGGAGAAGUCGUCGAUGAACAAAUUACAAGAUACUGGCCUGUUGGUAGCACGCAUUCUGAUGCCGAUUCUGUUUAUUGUGGCCGGUUACGGCAAAAUGGGUGAUGCCUAUGCUGGCACGCAACAGUAUAUGCAAGCAAUGGGUGUCCCUGGCUUCUUCCUGCCAUUGACUAUUUUGCUGGAAUUUGGCGGCGGUUUGGCAAUUCUGUUUGGUUUCCUGACCCGUACCACUGCACUGUUCACUGCGGGUUUCACUAUUCUGACGGCACUUAUCUUCCACACUAACUUUGCGGAAGGCGUUAACCAGUUGAUGUUCAUGAAAAACCUAACCAUCGCUGGUGGUUUCAUCGUGUUGGCGGUUGCCGGCCCUGGUGGUUUCAGUAUUGACCGUCUGCUGGGUAAGAAGUGGUAAGGCUAUACUAUAAAAUGCAAUCCCAAAAGUAAUUGGAGUUGCAGCCAGGCAGCAAGCGAAUGACAAAUGGGUCGGGAACUAA